rnacentral:antisense_RNA from 1 species
CUUGAUCGACCCGAGCCAGAGCGGCUGCUCCCGGUCCCGCCCGUAGGUGGCCAGCAGCGCCUGCGCCUC